AGCGAGCCCUGGCUGAAGCAUCGUGUGGUUCAUGAAUAUUUGAUGGGCCCACAGUGUAACACCAAGAAGCAUCCUGACCCCGCUUGGAUGGAGGCAAGGGCCGCUAAGGCUGAGGCAAGAUGCUAUGACAAGUCACGAAAACUCUGAGGAGGGAAAGAAUGGAGACCUGGAGACCUGACUUCAUAGCCAAAUCUCUAUCCUUAGCACCUCUGUUAUAUCCCCUGCUUCUCUGAGUGAUAACGCUGUGAUGACCAGAGGGGACACUCAGCCAGUACCCCAGCACAAAGAACGAGAGAGAACAGAUGCCAAUGUAAGAUCCACAGUAGCAUUGCUACUUUCAAAUCAUCCUGAGGAAAAGCUCCAACAAACAAACCUAGGGUCAU